CACUAAUGCACCGGAUCCCAUCAGAACUCCGCAGUUUAAGCAUGCUUGGGCGAGAGUAGUACUAGGAUGGGUGACUUGGUGAGAAGUCGUCGUGUUGCACCCC
rnacentral:rRNA from 1 species